rnacentral:piRNA from 1 species
UGUGUCUACGGUGUGCUCACUUCUAUUCCUU